AACGAACGCUGGCGGCAUGCCUAACACAUGCAAGUCGAACGAGACCUUCGGGUCUAGUGGCGCACGGGUGCGUAACGCGUGGGAACCUGCCCUUAGGUUCGGAAUAACUCACCGAAAGGGGUGCUAAUACCGGAUAAUGUCUUCGGACCAAAGAUUUAUUGCCUUUGGUUGGGCCCGCGUUGGAUUAGCUAGUUGGUAGGGUAAAAGCCUACCAAGGCGACGAUCCAUAGCUGGUCGGGGAGGAUGAUCAGCCACACUGGGACUGAGACACGGCCCAGACUCCGACGGGAGGCAGCAGUAGGGAAUAUUGGACAAUGGGCGAAAGCCUGAUACAGCAAUGCCGCGUGAGUGAUGAAGGCCUUAGGGUUGUAAAGCUCUUUUACCCGAGAUGAUAAUGACAGUACCGGGUGAAGAAGCACCGGCUAACUACGUG
rnacentral:rRNA from 1 species